ACGAAAAGUUCUCCACAUAUUAUCUUACUAUCAGGUGAAAAAGUGCAGUGCUAAUCCUUUUAGCCUCUUCAUUUAUACGCGAUGGGGUUUUAGUUUGGCCAUUAUUCAGACGGACUGAAAGUUGGUUUUUCUUUUCAUUUUUAAUUUAGCGUGAUUCAAAUAAUUUACUUGAAAAAACCGGUAAAAUGAGGAGCUGAAAUGUAACAACGAUUUACUUAGGGUUUUUCAUUUUCUGAAGCUUCAUAAUUUAUCAGAUUGCAGUCAUUUUUUAAGCAAACUUUAUCUCCUUUCACAACAAACACGAGUUAAUUGUUUGAAAAAAUCGCAAACUCUCUAACUUUACGGAAGUCUUGAUAAAUGGUAUUUCUUUUUUGUCCCUGGGAAAAUGGAAGUCACGAGUGAUUCGGCGGGAAAUCAGUCACACAAACGCAACAUUAAAAAAGUGCUUCCUCCCAAUUAAACAUAUCACUUCUGGGAUCAUUAGACUAAUGAGUAGGCGUAAAAGGACAAAAGACACUUAUCAAGGAGAUAUAUGAGUUGCCCGCUGUGCACAUAUUUUAUACUUUGCUGUAUUCUGCCCGGCUUAUUUGCAGCAGAAAAUAUACAUAUAAAACACUUGGAUGCAGUUCACACAAAUGCAGAAUGUAACGAAACUGGAAUUACCUUCUGAUGCUGCACCUAUGGAAUCCAUAAGCCGAACAAUCUAAUCACUAAUCGUCCGAUUUCCAAUUUGGCGCAUUUAGGUUGAUAUGAAAUAAUUCUCGGACAUCAAACAAGAAAUCCCUGCUUCCAAAUUGAAAUUUCCAUUUGAAGCUGGCAAAUCCAAGAAAAGCUAAAGGGCUCAAACAGUUCCGGUUGCCAUAUAGUGAGGCUUUGCUGGUAAAUGAGGCACGUUCUAUACACUCAGCCUUCUAUUAAAGUAAUCUUUCAUUUUCAAAGUUGAAAAUAUCAGAGAGCUAAACUCUAACGUGCCUCAAAUUAUUUUUGGUGAUUGUUUCGAUAGAUAUUAACACUGCGAAAUGACGACAAAAUAAAUAAAAAUUUUUGAAAGGAUUGCUCGCAGAUAAUUAUAUUCUCAUGCAUUUACUGCUUAGAAUUGCACGUUUUCUAUUGGUAU